UACGUAGGGUGCGAGCGUUAAUCGGAAUUACUGGGCGUAAAGUGUGCGCAGGCGGCCGCGCAAGUCGAGUGUGAAAGCCCCGGGCUUAACUUGGGAAUUGCGCUCGAAACUACGUGGCUGGAGUGUGGCAGAGGAAGGUGGAAUUCCAGGUGUAGCGGUGAAAUGCGUAGAGAUCUGGAGGAACACCGAUAGCGAAGGCAGCCUUCUGGGCCAACACUGACGCUCAUGCACGAAAGCGUGGGGAGCAAACAGG
rnacentral:rRNA from 1 species